GAGGCCGCCACUUUCUUCAGGGCUAUCAGAUGAAGGCAGCAACGAAAACACCACCACAAGACCAACUUCAGGCUGGAGCUGAUGAUGCCACACAGAAAAUAGACUCUACUUAGAAAUGAAACUCAACUAAAGGUAAAAGUUGUCAGGAACAUCUCCAAGAAAGCCAGAGUCAGCCUCUAAACUUUGCAUCAAGAACGCAAUGGCUUCCCUGAGGGCCCAGGGACGCGUGGCAGCUGUGAGGCAGCCCCUUCUCUGCUGUCGAGGAACUGGACACUUCUCCUGUCCCUUCCCACAAGGUAUAAUAUUAGGCAGAAACCCAAUAUAAAAAGAAAAGCAGAGUUGUUGUAGAUUCAUCGAGGGUUGGCGACCUGGUUCCAAUGAGCCAUCUCCCUGUUCCGACAGGGGCUUCCUGGAGCUCCUGCAACCCCAGGCAUUAGUUCCGGUGCAGUUCUAGGAUCAGAUCAAUUCACUCGACAACAAGAGAAACAAAUGGAGAUUCCUACACAAAGACUUUCAAGCACAAAGAAAUCCUGCUGCCUGUAAAGCGGAGCUGCCUCAGCCCUUGAUGAACGACAGAAAAUCUCACAUUCCAGGAAUUCAGAUGAAGUGAAGUGCUCUCAUGGGGACCAGGCAUGGUUAUGCCAGUCCACUGCCCUGCAAGCCUCAAGGGAAGCCAACUGCCCUUCAGCAAGUCACACCUGCCUUGGUGGAGGCCUUGAUUGGAAGUGCCACACGCUACAUGUCCAGUCCUGAGCGGGAGAAUCGGUGUAGGGACGUUCUGGGGAUGCCAGCUGUGGCCAGAUCAGGUCCAACUACAGAAGAAUAAUGAAGACUCCACCUGAGGGCUGGAAAAACAAAACCUCAAGUGUGAGGCAGCCAACCUGUUACCUCGAGGGACUGUUCCGCAGCACAGCGGGGCCAUGGGAACAGCAGCAGACACCCCGACCUCCUCGCUACCUGUGUGUGUAUUAACACGCCGGCCUCCUCGCUACCUAUCAACUAUGGCCUGA
rnacentral:lncRNA from 10 species